CGGGCGCAGGCCCGCGGCUCGGCCUGCCUCGGGGGCUCUGCAUUUCUGCUGAAGUUUCCCCAGGGCCCUGGACGCAUGUCGCAAUGGUGUCUGUCCUUCCCAGAGGUGAGGGAGCCCUGAGGACAACUGGGGAGAAGCAGGAUCCCCUUCAGACAACGCUAGCAAACGGACCCUGAAGCAGAACACCCUGAGUUUCAGUGUUGUGUUGUGGCUCACGCGAGGUGGGUGCCUCUUGCCGAUGAGGACGCCCAGGGAAAAUGUCCUGGAGAACUCGGUAUUUGUGCUGUUGCCCCACACCUUUUGGGAGAAGACUGCCUUUUAACAGUGUCUUUAUCCUGUCUUUUAACAGUGAUUGUGGAGGAAGCCAAGUUUCUGACUCUCCUCUAGAAAAGCUCUUCCAGGCUACAAAGCCCCUCCUUUUCCAGUUAUGCCUGACACAGGGUAUUCCCAUCUAAACUAUCUUCUCGUAUUUUGGCACAUUCCAGAAAUUUUCCCCAAAUAAGAAAUUGUAAUAUAUUCCAGAUACAAAGCAUGAAUAUACAGAAACUUACUCUGCUAACACAUUUAGACUUAGUAUUAACUCAGAUUCUAGUGGUUCUUUGUGAACUGUAAAUAAGAUACCAGUUCAAAAGGCUUUUGUAAUUCUAAAAUGAUAUACUGACAUAUUUCUUUAUCUGAGUUCUCAAAAGACAGAGUCCUUUCACAGUUGCUGUAGUUUGGGGAUUUUGCAGGUGGGGGAGCCUGGGGGCUGGUGGUCAUUGGCCUGUGCACUAGAAGGGAAUGCUUGGACCCCAGCCCCUUCGCUUUCUUUUUGCUUCUGGGCAGUUACGGGGUGAGUAGACCACGCGGUGUAACAUGCUUCCCAUUGGCCCAGUGGCAACAGGACUCAGUCACCUCUGAAACUGCCCUCCUUACAAGAUGUUUAUUUCAGGUAUUGUGUCACAGUGAUGCACAACUAACACAAUAGUCAAAGCCAUUAAAUUAGAGAGAAUGGUAUGAUUUUGUAAUUGACUUAAUAUUCUUUUCACCUACUGGGUGUUGGAAUUCCAGAUGUAGAAAUACCAAAUACAGCUGACCUUUUUAGAUUAAACAACAUAAUGCAAAUUAAAAGAUUCAAACAAUUAGUGAAUUUAAAGCUUUAUAGAUCGCUACGCAAAGUCAUUCCACACAUUUUUGCAAAAAAAAGGAACAAGGAUUUACUUUUGUAUUCAUGAGAGUUAUGGAUAUUAAUUUUCAUGGGCGAAAUGUUAACUGAUAACUAAAUAUAUCUUUUGAUGGAUUACAUUUACAAUUUUCUUUUUUGAAUUUCUAUCAGCUUCAUGUUAACAAAUGAAAGUUAACUUCUUAUUUUACUUUUAUUUGUACACGUUUGCAGUAUGUAAUGGCUACACUCCUCAUGAGUUGGCAUAUGUACAUACCACAGUUUAAUUCUUUUUAUGUCUUCCUCCUUCCCCUCUGCAUAUGUUCCAUUCUUUGAAACUGUAUUUAAACAUGUUGCUUAAACACUCUUCUCUCCUGUGAUGCAAUGGUACCUCAGGACCUCCUCAUAAUGAUUAUAUAACGCCUAACACAGCCUGCGCUAGAUGGACUGUCUGAGGGGGCAGAGAAACAAGGCAAUCCAGAAUCUUGGAGAAGUCACGUUGCUAAAACAAUGCCAUUACC
ensembl:lncRNA